rnacentral:rRNA from 1 species
AUACGGAGGGUGCAAGCGUUAAUCGGAAUUACUGGGCGUAAAGCGCGCGUAGGCGGAUUGUUAAGUCUCAUGUGAAAGCCCUGGGCUCAACCUGGGAACUGCAUGGGAUACUGGCAAUCUAGAAUACAGUAGAGGGUAGUGGAAUUUCAGGUGUAGCGGUGAAAUGCGUAGAGAUCUGAAGGAACAUCAGUGGCGAAGGCGACUACCUGGACUGAUAUUGACGCUGAGGUGCGAAAGCGUGGGGAGCAAACGGAAUUAGAAACCCUAGUAGUCC